rnacentral:rRNA from 1 species
CCUACGGGUGGCAGCAGUGGAGAAUAUUGGACAAUGGGGGCAACCCUGAUCCAGCCAUGCCGCGUGUGUGAAGAAGGCCCUCGGGUUGUAAAGCACUUUCAGUGAGGAAGAACGCCUGGUGGUUAAUACCCAUCAGGAAAGACAUCACUCACAGAAGAAGCACCGGCUAACUCCGUGCCAGCAGCCGCGGUAAUACGGAGGGUGCGAGCGUUAAUCGGAAUUACUGGGCGUAAAGCGCGCGUAGGUGGCUUGAUAAGCCGGUUGUGAAAGCCCCGGGCUCAACCUGGGAACGGCAUCCGGAACUGUCAAGCUAGAGUGCAGGAGAGGAAGGUAGAAUUCCCGGUGUAGCGGUGAAAUGCGUAGAGAUCGGGAGGAAUACCAGUGGCGAAGGCGGCCUUCUGGACUGACACUGACACUGAGGUGCGAAAGCGUGGGUAGCAAACAGGAUUAGAUACCCUGGUAGUC